rnacentral:rRNA from 1 species
GAUGAACGCUGGCGGCGUGCCUAAUACAUGCAAGUCGAGCGAACGGACGAGAAGCUUUCUUCUCUGAUGUUAGCGGCGGACGGGUGAGUAACACGUGGAUAACCUACCUAUAAGACUGGGAUAACUUCGGGAAACCGGAGCUAAUACCGGAUCAUAUUUUGAACCGCAUGGUUCAAAAGUGAAAGACGGUCUUGCUGUCACUUAUAGAUGGAUCCGCGCUGCAUUAGCUAGUUGGUAAGGUAACGGCUUACCAAGGCAACGAUGCAUAGCCGACCUGAGAGGAUGAUCGGCCACACUGGAACUGAGACACGGUCCAGACUCCUACGGGAGGCAGCAGUAGGGAAUCUUCCGCAAUGGGCGAAAGCCUGACGGAGCAACGCCGCGUGAGUGAUGAAGGUCUUCGGAUCGUAAAACUCUGUUAUUAGGGAAGAACAUAUGUGUAAGUAACUGUGCACAUCUUGACGGUACCUAAUCAGAAAGCAACGGCUAACUACGUG